rnacentral:rRNA from 1 species
AAACUGCGAAUGGCUCAUUAAAUCAGUUAUCGUUUAUUUGAUAGUACCUUACUACAUGGAUACCUGUGGUAAUUCUAGAGCUAAUACAUGCUAAAAACCCCGACUUCGGGAGGGGUGUGUUUAUUAGAUAAAAAACCAAUGCCCUUCGGGGCUACUUGGUGAUUCAUAAUAACCUAACAGAUCGCAUGGCCUUGUGCCGGCGACGGUUCAUUCAAAUUUCUGCCCUAUCAACUUUCGAUAGUAAGGUAUUGGCUUACCAUGGUUUCAACGGGUAACGGGGAAUUAGGGUUCGAUUCCGGAGAGGGAGCCUGAGAAACGGCUACCACAUCCAAGGAAGGCAGCAGGCGCGCAAAUUACCCAAUCCCGACACGGGGAGGUAGUGACAAUAAAUACUGAUACAGGGCUCUUUUGGGUCUUGUAAUCGGAAUGAGUACAAUUUAAAUUCCUUAACGAGGAACAAUUGGAGGGCAAGUCUGGUGCCAGCAGCCGCGGUAAUUCCAGCUCCAAUAGCGUAUAUUAAAGUUGUUGCAGUUAAAAAGCUCGUAGUUGAACCUUGGGCCUGGCUGGCCGGUCCGCCUCACCGCGUGUACUGGUCCGGCCGGGCCUUUUCUUCUGGAGAACCCCAUGCCCUUCACUGGGCGUGCGGGGGUGCCAGGACUUUUACUUUGAAAAAAUUAGAGUGUUCAAAGCAAGCCUUUGCUCGAAUACGU